rnacentral:rRNA from 1 species
AAAGAGUUCUAUAACUCCCAAACCCAUGUGAACAUACCUAACGUUGCCUCGGCAGGUCGCACCUACCUUGUAGCACCCUACCCUGUAGGGCCUACCCGGGAGGUGCGGGUAAGCCUGCCGGCGGCCCACCAAACUCUGUUUGAUAUUGAAUUCUGAACCUAUAACUAAAUAAGUUAAAACUUUCAACAACGGAUCUCUUGGUUCUGGCAUCGAUGAAGAACGCAGCGAAAUGCGAUAAGUAAUGUGAAUUGCAGAAUUCAGUGAAUCAUCGAAUCUUUGAACGCAUAUUGCGCCCAUUAGUAUUCUAGUGGGCAGGACCGUUCGAGCGUCAUUUCAACCCUUAAGCCUUCGUUGCUUAGUGUUGGGAGCCUACGGCAACGUAGCUCCUCAAAGUUAGUGGCGGAGUUGGUUCACACUCUAGACGUAGUAAUUUUUUAUCUCGCCUAUUAGUUGGACUAAUCCCCUGCCGUAAAACUCCCAAUUUAUCAAGGUUGACCUCGAAUCGGUUCAGACAAACUCGCUAAAUUGAAGCAUCUUAGUCAGCGAAGGAAAAGAAACCAACAGGGAUUGCCCUAGUAACGGCGAGUGAAGCGGCAACAGCU